CUGUAAUGUAAACACUGCAUUUUCUCUGAAAAAAGUGUUUACUGCAAAAAGCCUGAAGGGAAUGAUUACACUCACUAGAACAAAUACAAUAAGCUGUAUAUGUUCUAGUAACUAUAGUGUCCCUUUAAGUGUGAGAUGCUUAGGAGAUAUAUACUUGAAAGUAAUGCAUAAAUAGGAAGAAAAAAAAAGAGCAGCAAACCAAAUAAUAAUACAAGUCUAGUAAAAACUGAAACAUCAACUGUAUGUUACUUACCUUUUGCCCACUCCCUCCCUUCAGUAUCUGAUUUUUGGUAUAAGGGUUCACUGCAAGUUGUGUUGAUACCCUAAGAUUUGUUAGCUUGUUUCUCCCCAUGUAUUCCUCACCAAUUUUAAUUCCUCUAAAGUCGGCCGCUUUCUCAACUCAUUGAAAAUGAUUAAUAUUUUCACUGAGGCUUUCUGACCCUUAAAGGGACACGACAUCAACAUAACUUUAGCAUAAAGAAGCAGUUUUGUGUAUAGAUCAUGCCCAUUGCAGUCUCAAUGCUCAAUUGUUUGCCAUUUAGAAGUUAAAUCACUUUUGUUACCGUUUAUGCAGCACUAGCUGCAACUCCCCCGGCUUGAGAGCCCUCAUGAAGAAAAUGGUUUCACUUUUAAUAAGAUGGUAACUUGCUUCAGAUGUUUUUAUCUUCUGCUCUGUAAAUUGAGAUUUAAUCACACACAGAAGGCUCCUGCAGGGUAUAUACAGCUAUUAACAGAGCAGGAGAUAGUAAAUUCUAAAUUAAACAGACUGUGUUUAAACAUUAGAUUUCUCUUUAUAGGAAGUGUUAAGAAAGGCUGUGUAAGUC